rnacentral:rRNA from 1 species
GAUGAACGCUGGCGGUGUGCUUAACACAUGCAAGUCGAACGGAAACACCCUGAGUUCGUGGGGUGCUCGGGUGGCGAACGGGUGAGUAACACGUAAGUAACCUGACCUUGACUUUGGGAUAAGUUAAGGAAAGUGGGGCUAAUACAGGAUAGGAGAUCAUGCUGCAUGGUGGGGGUUGGAAAGUUUCGGCCGUAGGGGUUGGACUCGCGGCUUAUCGGCUUGUUGGUGGGGUAGUGGCUUACCAAGGCAUUGGAGGGUAGCCGGCCUGAGAGGGUGACCGGCCACCUGGCGACUGAGAUACGGCCCAGACUCCAACGGGAGACAGAAGUGGCGAACAUUGCACAAUGGGCCCACGCCUGAUGCAGCAACGCCGCGUGUGUAAUGACGGCCUUCUGGUUAUAAACCGCUUUCGCCUGUAACCAAGCGUUAGUGACGGUAAGGGGUAAAUAAGCACCGGCUAACUUCGUG